AACCCAAGCAACCACACACACCCACACGCACGUCACCGUCGCCUCACGCCACCGUCCAUGUGCACCCGUGCACGUCCACGUACGUCGCGCUCCGCCCGGCGUACGGCGCACCAAACCUUACCUGUUGGAGGGCAGAGCUGGAGCAGAGCAGCGGGGUGGUUCGAGCUCCUGAUCCUGCGGUUGGUGCCUGCCGCGCCCGGCCGUUGGAGCGAACUGGCUCCGGGACGUAACCUGGAAGGCAAAAAACCAGCGCGUGAUGACUGCGAGCCGCGCCUUCCGUGACAGACUGCUCCAUCUUGGCUGCAGCCGGGCGGAUGGCCGAAGCCGUCCCAGCCAAGAGAGUGACACGCCACGCCGAGGCGUCGUGACGCGGCGCGUGGUUGCGUCUCGCGGUGGGUGAGCCCGAGCCCUGGCUUGUUGGCUCCGGUGCUGGUUGGUUGCUAGGCCGUUUGGCGCGUGAGACACGCCGACCCGAUCCUGUCGGCCGCCGCCGCUUGCCUGCGCCCGCACGCCGUCCCGGUACGGCCACCGCAUGUGGCCUUCCGGGCGGUUGGACGCGGUCACGCCCGGCGUGUGCGCUAACGAACAGUGUCCGUGGCGUUGCGUCCCGGCUCGCUCGUUAGGGCUUGGCUUUUCACAUUUGUGGUGGGCACGGGGGCAACGUCACGAGCGUCAUCUAGGUUUGCGUUGGGUCUAUGAUCGAUCUUGGAAGGUCGUGUGCACGGGGCAAUCAUUGGUGUCAUGGGCCGACCCUUCCUUUGGCAUCGCGUUUUGGAAUUUGGAUCCGGAACGGGCCGUUGACGCUAUCACAUUCACUGUUAAGGCCAGCCACCAGGACCCUAGCAUGGCAGCUUAGAGCAUGGCUAAUGAAAUCGCCAGCAGUUGGCAGAUUGAAGUCCGGCGUGGAAGAGCAUUCAAUGUGGCAGUGCAGUGAGAGAGAGUAUCGCAGCACAUGCGGCCAAUAGCUGCUGAGCGCAGCAGCAACACAGCCAAUAGAGCUUUAGGCACGUCUAUGCGCCUGCUUUGGGCCGGUGACUCGGUACUCGCCUACUUCAUUCUCUUUCUAGUUUCUUACUCCUCCGCAUUGAAUUCAGAUGAUGUAGCAGUUUAUUUAGCCAGCUGACUUACCUUACUAUACUUGCUCUUACUGUGUGCUGUUGUUUGCUUGUGGACCCUAGCAUGGCGUAAGCUCCUUAGACUUUUUCGAGCUAGUAGACUUCGUUCAGGUCGACACGGGCGCGGCGACGUCGGAAGCAGCAGCAGAUCGUCAACGGAGACGUUCAGUAUGUACUCUGCGAUGCUCAUGGCAUGCUGCUGCUGCUACGGCGAGUGUGGGACAGGGGUCUGAUCUCUGCCGGCACGGCAAUGCAUCUGCACCGGGGUGGCCGUGGACCGCUGCUGCCUGUCCGUCCGGCCGGUCAUGCAGCCAUUUUUGACCCAAUGCAAGCAUUUCGUCUGGCAGCGCCGGUCGGAUCCACGAGACCACCACGCCGAGCCGUGCUCGGGAGCCCGACACCUGCGCGGCCGCGCUGCACACCCGGAUACUGGUUUUCAGGUUGACAGUAAAUUCCAAAGCUCAUGGUAGAUCCGCCCACUCGGCGUUUUAGCGAGCGCACGGGCCUCGUCGGGAUGGAGCUGGCUCGGUGGCGGCGGAGAGGCACGGCGGCCGGGUGGCGCGACACGGUGGAGUGCGGCGGGGCCGUGGUGGGAGCGGCGAUGCUGGUGGAUCUGAGCAGCGCGUCUUAGCUGCGCCAUGCUUUCUCCUUCCCCUUCCCCCUUCAUCUUCUUCCUCGCGGAUCUGAGCGCGCUACGGCGCGCUCGACGCGGCGGCAACCGGAGCGACGUGGCGGCGGGGUGACCGGGUGGCACGGCGGCGGGGCAGCGGGGCGGCCGGGUGGCAGGAAGGCGCGCGCGGGGAGGUCCGCCGCCGCCCCGAUAGGGUUUAAUUUUUUAUUUUUUUUCGUUUUUUCUUUUUUUUUAUUCAAAACAUUUUGUAUCUGAGUUUUUUAUUUUCUGAAUGUAAAAUUUUUUCUUGAGAUUUUUUUAAUUUUUUAUGUAAAUUUAUUUCUGUUGAAUUUAUUUUAAUUUAUUUCGUACAAUUUUUUUCCAAUUUUUUUCUCUUGAAGGUUCCCUCUUCCCUAAUUUUAUCUUGAAAAAAUUUUCUGCUCUCCAAUUUUUUUGUUGAUUUUUUCCUUGAAAAAACUUUCUACUGUCUAAUUUUAAUUUGCUGCUGCUCCAAAAUUUUUCUUGAUUUUUUUUUCUAAAUUUUUUUGCCAAUAAAAAACUUACUAUAAAUGGAAGAAAACACUAUCGGAAAGGCUCCGUACGGUCGACCGCAAAUUAGCGUGACCCGCUGCACACACGUCGAUCCGCCCGCGGCUUGAUUGCCUGGCACGGCCUGGUCCAGUUCCCAGGUGGUCCGAUCAGGCGAUCACCUCGCCAUUCACCGCUGCGCCGGCAAUAAAGCCCGGUGGUGGCCACACGGGACGGUGGCCACUGUGCCGACACGUAACGGGGUACGGUGCUCCAGUGCUCCUAGCUAGCUAUGUCGGCGCCUGGGUGUGCCGGUGCACGCAAAGCUCAAGUAGUCCGCCGGUGUAUAACUCAGGAUCGGGCACCGUACCGUACCGUACCGGCUGCUUUGAGAUCCGAGACAUCGAUCGAGCCGGUGAACUGAGAUCCAGCGAGUCGGAUCGCCGUGCAUGAGCCCCGAUCGAUCGAUGAUGCUGCGUGCUCUGCUUUUGCUUAGCUUUCACUCACAUCUCCCGGAUCGGAUGGGGCACCCGGGCACAGUACUUGCGUACCCUGCAAACAGGGGCGGACCUAGUAUUGAUGCCCCCGUAUUCCUAGGAAUACCCUGCUGGCGGAAAAACAAGUGAAAUAUAUGUAUAUAUGUAUAGAUAAUUUGGUAUGUAUACUCAGUAUGCUUGAACCAAAAUACUUCAUUUAGGUUAUUGCAGCUGGUCACAUUUUUUUA